AAAAAUUUAGUUAAUUUAUAACAUUAAUUUGUCAAAUUAAAAUAAUUUUUU
rnacentral:tRNA from 1 species